CAGCAGCGUGGGAGGGGGGCGGGGGCAGGCUGGGGGGACCCAAAUCUAUAGGAAUUACGUUAUUUGGCUCGGUCUGGCUCACCACGGGGGGGUCCUCCCCACCUAAAUCUUCAGGCAAGGGGGGAUAGGAAAAAAAAUGUCCAUUUUUUUCUUCCGUGACUGAUAGCGGCGGGGCAGAGGGUUGAACUGUGAUUAAUGGCGGUGACGCAGACGGCGGAACCGCGGUUGAUGAUGGUAGAGCAGAGGUUUGAGCCGUGAUUGAUGACGGCGGAGCAGUCGGUUGAACGCACUGCUCUGACCGGUGCUCCGGGGGCCCCUCCCGAGAUCGUAUAUAACCCAACGCUGUUUUUUCAUGGGAGUCUUUCAUAGCUUUUAUCUGAUCUCGGGGCCACACAUACGUACGCUCCUCCUCUAUUCCUUUUAACUUUCCAAGAAAGUGUCGCGGAUCCUUAUCCGUGUCAGAUAAUAUGGACUUGGGCGGUUUUGACGAAUCUUUAGUAACAGGGGGGGUCGGAGUAGUACUUAAUCUUGCCUUUUCCUCCGAAUCUGGCCCAGGAGGGCCAGGAAGACCAUCCCCCUCCGCCACCUCUGCCUUAUCCUGUUGCUGUUUUAACUCUUUCAGAGUAUCUAAUAACAAGCGCCAGGUUGUUAACAGUUCAGUUGCUUCCUUGGACCCUUGGGUAGCACUGUCAAACAGUUUAUCUCCCAAGUCCAUCCAUUGUGACACACUAAAUGCUGUCACAGGAUUAACCUCUAAACCUUGUGCUUUGCCCCAUAGUAACAUUUUUCUUAAAGUCAGUUCCGGAAGGCUAACACCCCGCUUCUUCAGAAGCAGCUUCCAUGUGGAUAAUAUGUGGAGACGGAGCCCGGUACAGCUGAUAAGAGCAGCCGAGGAGAGCUGCCGAAGAUCCGGAUCGUUGAAAAGACACCUCGCUAAGGAGUAGGGCGAGAAGAGCAGGACAAAAUAAAUCCCUACAAGAGAUCAUUAGAUCAUUACAGACAGUUUUACAGCUGGAACGGUUUGAACGUCAACAAGCUGAGACAGAGUUAACUGAUACCACACAGGUCACAGUAAACUUGCUGAAGUCUGCAAGCUGCUUUCCUCAUUAACCUGUUUUCUUUGUGGGUAUCGGUUUAAGCAUGUUGCAAUUUUGGUAGGUCUUUGUUAUAUGGUACGAUAAGUUCACAGUCUGUUAAAUUAUGAGAAUCCGUUGACUCAAAAAGUGCGUUUUGUGAUAAUACAGAAGAUCAUAAGUAAUUUAGUUCUUUACUGCGUGAAUGUGAUGGUAAAAUUUUGUGUGUAGUAGCUGUUAUUUUUUUUUUCUUUUCUCUAGCAUGCUACCUUUAUUCCAGCAUUCAGACUUGCGCAACUCUGUGACAGGCUGUGUCUCAUCUCGGUGUGGUGGAUUUGGCUUUUCCAUAUGCACACCAUGUAAAGAAUCCUGGUUUUGGAAUAACAGCUGUAGCGCACCAGAUGAGACACUAAAAAAAAAACAAAAACAAAACAAAACAAAACAAAAAAAAGGCCUUGCCCAGUCCAGCUCGCUGUGGUGGCCGAUGGGGCUCCAGCGCGCACUGACCUAUUUUGUCAGGGAGACCCAGAGGUACCUCCACCUGGCUGAGCAGUAAACGGUUCAAAGGUGCAAUACAAAAAUUGAGAUAUUGUCUUAAAUUGGUGUAACUGUGAUCCAUCUGCUUAUUUGAACUUGGUAUAUGGUUUUCACAUCUGAGCUCAGUAUUUUAGUUUGCAUAUUCAUAUUUGGUACCAAAAGAAUCUUGUUUGGGGAGAUAAUUACAAAAUGGGAACCGGUUCCACUGCUAAAAUUUCACCUUGCCUCCCCUUAGGAUGCAUCCUUACACAUUAGAGUAAUUGCUUAUAUUGUUAGAAAAGCAUUUAAAUUGUUAAAAUGCUAUGACAGCUGUGAAUUUGGAAGAGGUUGUAUUUAAAAAUUGCUAGAAUAUUAACUGAUUUGGAUCUAGGAAAAUAGACUAAUGGAUUUAUAUACUGUUUUUUGACAUCUCUAAAUUGUAAAAGGUAAAUGGAGCUAAGGAAUGUAACUAUUUCUGAGCUACUUGAAAUUGCAUAUAAAGUGUAUUAUGGCUGGAAUGAAACGGGAAAACUAAAGAGCAAAAUAUCCCAGGCCUCUGUGUAGGUUGUAACUGAGAAGUUUCCCAGAGCCUCCUACUUCAUACCAGCCAGUAUGCCAGCUGCGUGACCUUGGUUAUAUCUAAAACUGCAGCAGGAAGAGAAAGAAAAAACAACUGGAAUAAACUGGCUGCCUGCCUUUAAAGCAGUGAAAGGGGGGUUCUCUCUUCCCCCCCCACUGCAGCGAUGUAAUACUGAAUGGAGCAGUCCGAGGGUGAAGUUUAAAGGCAUCCUUAGCAGACCCAUAGUUCUAAUGAAACUGGAAAAUUAAACCAAAAAUUUAAUAGACUUAUUCUGUGGUAAUUAGUUGUAAGUGACUUCUUAGUAAAUUCACCAUGCUAGUUUUUGAGGUCAUGAGAGAGAACGAAAGAAAAGCCGUUUUUUGAGACCAAUGGAAUGCCAAAUUUGGAACAAAGUUUAAAUACAUGAAUUCUUAUAGUUGUUAGAAACGCCUAUACCUCUCCUAGGUUAAGAUUUGUUAAGUAAAUUGUAAGCUCAAAUAACAUUUUCUGAGAAUUCUGUUUAGUUGCAUGUCCUACAAGAAGCUGCUUGGAUGGCGCAGAUCUGCUUGCUGCAAGUGAGAAAUCUCCAAGGAAAUUUCAAAUGCUGUAUUUCCACUAGUAUUAACAGCCAAUGUUUCGAUAAAGCAAAUACUACACUGAUUGAUCUGAAACAGGACUUCGAUCUGGUAAGGGAAAACAAUAUCCAAUAAAUAUGACAGCCAAAAUGGAGUUGGAAACUUUGAGGAAUAAAUUUAUGAUAACCUUCCAGGUUGACUGCAUUCGAUUGGACUUGCAGAUUUGUCUAUGAAACAACCUGUGGCUAUUGUGGGACAGUAUGAUGAGAAUGCUAACAGACUGAUAUACCAAUUGUUACUCUGAUCAAGAAAUGCAGGGAAUGAAUUUAAGUCUCAUUAGGCCAUGAUCAUUUUGUCAUAUAUGUACCAUUUGUGAAAUUUAAUUUUGAUUUUUUUAUUUGCAAUCUAUGUCCUUGUAAAUUGCACUAGCUGAUUGUCUGAACAGCACAGCUUUUGGCAUGCCUAAAUGUAAAAUCUAAAUUGCUGCAGAACCUGCAAGUCUUUAACAUCAGGUCACCGACCAUACUUGUAUCUGGUCUGAUCCUACAUACUUGCACAGUAUUUGUUGAUAUUUCUGGGAAGUCUCAUGAAGCUGUAGUGGUCUGACGUGAAGAUAACAAUUGGCAUCAUUCUGUAAACAUUACUGAAGGUUCAACCCAAUUAGCAGAACUUGGCACAGCUUUACGUUACUUAGAGCUUUUUAAGGAGGAACCUCUAAAUUUGAUUUGUGAUUUUGAGUACGUAGUCAAGAUCCAAUGCACGUAUCUGAACUACUUUUGGUUUUUGUUUUUUUUUUUUAAACAAAAAGGGGGGAGAAGUAGGGAAAACACCACAAAACCAAUUGUCAAAAGCAUAGUAUGUGAUGAAUCACUUAUAUCUAAGUGGUGCAACCCAAAUUUGCCCUGUGAUGAAACACUUUGCAAGUAUGACCCAAAAACAUGCUAAAUCAGAAAGAACCUACGUUAGUUAUGGUCAAAUCACUAGUUAAUGGUCAAUGGAAAAGGCCACAUCAAUUGAUAACCUGGGAAAAGGUUAUACUUGUGUCAUUACAGGCCAAGGAUCAAAGUGGAUUCCCACAAAAUGGGUCAAGCCAUGGCUGAAUAAAGACAAUAAAGAUUUAACGGAUGCAGAUGGACAGGAGGGAGAUAAGUUGUGAGGACUGUUUCAGAUGUAAACCGUUGAUCCUAAUUCAGUGUUAUAGAUGCUCACAGACCUGGUGGUCUAGAAGCCUAUUAGUAAGCAGGUGGUGUACCUUCUGUGGAGAAUGGCAAUUUGAACAAUCAGCAGGAGAGCCAAAAGGGCGAUAUUACACUUAGACAGUCAAUGCAAAGAUGAGGUAAAAUUAUGAGACAUUCCUACCGUAGUACCUACUGCACUCCUUCUCCCUAAUCUAGCAGCUGGUAAAGCUUUAGGAGACAUAUCAAAGUUAAGCUAUUUGUCUUCUGACCAGGCUAAUCUAACUUCUGAGAUACUAACUCAAUUAAUAGUAGAUGUUGAUGGUAUUAGGCAUGUUACACUUCAAAAUCGUGUUGCUAUAGAUUUUUGUUGUUAUUGUAAGGACAUGGUUGUGAUGAAUUUAAGAGCAAGAUGUUGUAUUAACUUGUUUAAUCAUUCUGGAUCUAUUCAUAGUACUUUAGACAAACUAAAAUAGCACGUUAAUAAGACUGUCAUAGUAGAAUUAAGGUUUGACAAAUGGUUUAAAAGCUUGGAAAUAUGUGGGUAGGUGUUUCAUCUUAUGAAGUAAGGCUUAGCUACAUCAUAUGUAACUGUAAUCAUUGUUGUUAAUCAUAUGUUGUAUGCUGCAGUGUAUUUCAAAGAUGAUUCAGCAUGCUGUAAACAAGGCCUGGCUGGUUCAAAAACAAAAAGGGAGAAUUGUGGGAGAUUUGAGGGAUUUUCUUGAGGUUGUUGUGUGGAUGGGUUCUAUUAGAUGGAGAUUUAGUUCUGAACUAGCCAGGCUCAAAUGAAUUUCAAAGCCAGCUCGAAAGCUGAAAGCAGGACCUGCUGUGGGAGUGAGGCAGUUCUUCAAUAACAGGGCCUCAACAAGAUGUAAAUCAACAGACCUAUUAGCAAUGAGAUUCGGGUGCAUGGACAGCUCGUGAACAUAGACAAUAUCCAAUCCACUAAUGCAUGCUUGGAGCGUGGACGUGUGAUCAGGAAAUAACUGCAUAUAUAAGGAGGCUUGUUUAUGUAAUAAAUGGCUUUGCUUGAAUUCAUAUUGGAUUGUAUGGAGUCCAUGAGUUUUUGCCCUCGCACGGCUGCUCCAUCCCAGAUAACUGCACAACCUUUGCCUACACAAUCUAUGCAUAUCAACCUAUUAACAACCACACUUAGUGCUAUUCCACCAGCCACGACUCAACACCUCCAGGCAGAGCAGUUCCAAGCCAAACGGGCACGUGCACACAGUCCCUUAAAAUGGAUGGCUAGAGAGCAGAGCUGCCAACGCAGCCCAGAACGACACCAUAAAACACAGUCAACUGGAAAAGUCUGAGGCGCAAGACCCAUCCACGCUUUCGGCUCAUUACGCAAGGAAACCAGCACCCAAUUGGCCAUAGGCCAAUCGGGACUGGCAUUGCGGACCCCAGGAAGACAACUGAGAAGACUGCCCUGCCCCUUGAGCACAAUGAGAUGCCAGGAUCGUCUAACAGGUGCAAGGCAGGCUUCCCAAACUACUCAACAAUGCAGACACACAGGCCGGAGCUGCCCUGCCCAGCACAACCUGGCAUCAUGCUGAAAUGUUCCCUGGCCCGUUUACCUGCCUAAAGGGGACUGUUCCAGGAUGGCUCUCUCCCCAUAUCAACUUUUGUUGGAGCGAUAAAGGACUCAGCAAACAAUUCGAUUCAAUGUGAAUUACGCUAAAGCCAUUUAUUACAGAAACAAGUCUCCUUAUAUACGCAACUAUAUUCUAAUCACACGUCCACGCUCCAAGCAUGGAUUCGCUAAAUGAGUAUCAUGGGCUGUCCAUGCACUGGAGUCUCACUGAUGAUACAUCCGAUGAUUCACGCCAUGCCAGGACCCCGGUGAUUGUGGAACGCCCCUCUUUCUCACAGCAGAUUCUGCUCUCAGCUUCUCUAAGAGGCCUUGAGAUUCCUUUGAGCCUGAUUAAUUCAGCAACAAAUCUUUAUCUAUCAAAACCCCUCCACAAACUUUCAAUACAUUCAUCAGUGAUUUGGAUGAGGGAAUAGAGUGUACUAUCAGCAGGUUUGCUGAUGACACAAAGCUGGGAGGAGUGGCUGAUAUGCCAGAAGGCUGUGCUGCCAUCCAGCAAGACCUGGACAGGCUGGAGAGUUGAGCAGGGAAAAAUUUAAUGAAAUAUAACAAGGGCAAGUGUAGAGUCUUGCAUCUGGGCAGGAACAACCCCAGGUUCCAGUAUAAGUUGGGGAAUGACCUAUUAGAGAGCAGUAUAGGGAAAAGGGACCUGGAGGCCCUGGUGGACAGCAGGAUGACCAUGAGCCAGCACUGUGCCCUUGUGGCCAGGAAGGCCAAUGGCAUCCUGGGGUGUAUUAGAAGGGGUGUGGUUAGCAGGUCAAGAGAGAUUCUCCUUCCCCUCUACUCUGCCCUGGUGAGACCACAUCUGGAAUAUUGUAUCCAGUUCUGGGCCCCUCAGUUCAAGAAGGACAGGGAACUGCUGGAGAGAGUCCAGCACAGGGCAACAAAGAUGAUCAAGGGAGUGGAGCAUCUCCCUUAUGAGGAAAGGCUGAGGGAGCUGGGUCUCUUUAGCUUGGAGAAGAGGAGACUGAGGGGUGACCUCAUUAAUGUUUACAGAUAUAUGAAGGGUGAGUGUCACGAGGAUGGAGCCAGGCUCUUCUCGGUGACAACCAACAGUAGGACAAGGGGUAAUGGGUACAAACUGGAACACAAAAGGUUCCACUUAAAUUUGAGAAGAAACUUCCUCUCAGUGAGGGUGACAGAACACUGGAACAGGCUGCCCAGGGAGGUUGUGGAGUCUCCUACACUGGAGGCAUUCAAAACCUGCCUGGACGCCUUCCUGUGUAACCUCAUCUAGGUGUUCCUGCUCAGGCAGGGUGAUUGUACUAGAUGAUCUUUCGAGGUCUCUUCCAAUUCCUAACAUUCUGUGAUUCAUUAUACCUGAGAUUCCUGCUUUGUUGUGAGAAAGAGCAGAGCAUACCAGGAGGCUGCGUCUGCUCUGAACCUUGAGAUAUAGGUGAAUGUAGCAGGCCCAGUGAUCAUCUACCACGGCCGAAUUCUGCAGUGCCUGCAUCUCCACUUGUGUCACCUCUGCCGGGGAGCUUAGUUGCUGUUGUGGAGAUCCCCCGGUAGCGAGGUAACUAAAUAAAUUUGCUCUUUGCAAUUGCAUAUAUGGCCUUUGGCUCUUCUUGCGACCUGCCUGCGCCUGUGCUCAGAACCUUGUUGAACCUCAUGACGUUUGCACAGGCUCCACCUCUCAAGCCUGUCGAGGUCCCUCUGGAUGGCAUUCCUUCCCUUCAGUGUGUCGACCACACCACAUAUCUUGGUGUCGUCAGCAACCUUGCUAAGGGUGCACUCAAUCCCACUGUCCAUGUCACCAACAAAGAUGUUAGACAGCACCGGUCCCAUUGCUGACCCCUGAGGAACACCACUCAUUACUGGUCUCCACUUGGACGUCGAGCCGUUGACCGCAACUUGGAGUGUGACCAUCCAGCCAAUUCCUUAUCCACUGAGUGUUCCAUCUAUCAAAUCCACAACUCUCCAGUUUAGAGACAAUGAUGUCAUGUGGGACAGUAUCCAGGUAGAAGUCCAGGUAGAAGAUGUCAGUUGCUCUUCCCUUAUCCACCAACGCUGUAACCCUGUCAUAGAAGGCCACCAAAUUUGUCGAGCACGAUUUGCCCUUAGUGAAGCCAUAUUGGCUGUCACCAAUCACCUCCUUAUUUGACAUGUGCCUUAGCAUAGUUUCCAGGAGGAUGUGCUUCAUGAUCUUUCUGGGCAUAGCAGUGAGAUUGACUGGUCUGUAGUUCUCUGGGUCUUCCUUUUUUCCCUUUUUAAAAAUGGGGGUUAUGUUUCCCCUUUUCCAGUCAGUGGGAACUUCACCGGACUGUCAUGAAUUCUCAGAUAUGAUGGAUAGUGGCUUAGCAACUUCAUCUACCAGUUCCCUCAGGACCCAUGGAUGCAUCUCAUCAGGUCCCAUGGACUUGUGCACCUUCAGGUUCCUUAGAUGGUCUCGAACCUGAUCUUUUCCUACAAUGGGUGAUUCUUCGUUCUCCCAGUCCCUGCCUUUGACUUCUGCAACUUGGGCGGUGUGGCCAGAGCACCUCCUGGUGAAGACUGAGGCAAAAAAGUCAUUGAGUACAUCAGCCUUCUCCAUAUCCUGGGUAACCAGAUCUCCCAUUGUCUUCUGGAGAGGGCCCAGAUUUUUCUCUCAUCUUCCUUUUAUCACUGACAGACCUAUAGAAGCUUUUCUUGUUGCCCUUGAUUGACCCUGGCCGGAUUUAAUUCUAUCAGGGCUUUAGCUAUCCUAACCCGAUCCCUGGCUGCUCAGACAAUUUCUUUGUAUUCCUCUCAGGCUACCUGUCCUUUCACCCACCCUCUGUAGGCUUCCUUUUUGUGUUUGAGUUUGUCCGGGAGCUCCUUGUUAAUCUGUGCAGGCCUCCUGGUGUUUCUGCCAUGGAGCAAAUCAUACUGAGUGCCACCACGUGGCACAGACAAGACAACAAAGUGAUCACGCCCAGUCAGCAUGGGUUUAUGAAAGGCAGGUCCUGCUUGACCAACCUCAUCAGCUUCUAUGACAAGGUGACCCGCUUAGUGGGUGAAGGAAAGGCUGUGGAUGUUGUGUACUUAGAAUUCAGUAAAGCCUUUGACACCGUAUCCCACAGCAUUCUCCUGGAGAAGCUGGCAGCUCAUGGCCUGGACGGGCAUACUCUUUGCUGGGUAAUGAACUGGCUGGAUGGCCGAGCCCGAAGAACGGAGUCAGAUCCAGUUGGUGGCUGGUCACGAGUGGUGUUCCCCGGGGCUCAGUAUUGGGGCCAGUUCUGUUUAAUCUCUUUAUCAAUGAUCUGGAUGAGGGGAUUGAGUGGACCCUUAGUAAGUUUGCAGAUGACACCAAAUUGGGUGGGAGUGGUGAUCUGCUGGAGGGUUAGAAGGCUAUAUAGAGGGAUCUGGACAGGCUGGAUCGUUGGGCUGAGGCCAAUCGGAUGCGGUUCAACAAGGCCAAGUGCUGGGUCCUGCACUUGGGUCACAACAACCCCAGGCAGCGCUACAGGCCUGGGGAAGAGUGGCUGGAAAGCUGCCUGGAAGAAAAGGAUCUGGGGUUGUUGAUUGACAGCCGGCUGAAUAUGAGCCAGCAGUGUGCCCAGGUAGCCAAAAAGGCCAGCAGCAUCCUGGCUUGUAUCAUGAACAGUGUGGCCAGCAGGACUAGGGAAGCGAUCGCGCCACUGUACUAGGCGUUGGUGUGGCCCCACCUUGAACACUGUGUUCAGUUUUGGGCCCCUCAUCAUAAGAAAGACAUUGAGGUACUAGAGAGAGUGCAGAGGAGGGCGACGAAGUUGGUGAGGGGCCUGGAGCACAAGUCUUAUGAGGAGAGGUUGAGGGAACUGGGGCUGUUUAGCCUGGAGAAAAGGAGGCUGAGGGGAGACCUUAUCACUGUCUGCAACUAUCUGAAAGGAGUUUGUAGCAUGGAGGGUGUUGAUCUCUUGUCCCAAGUAGCAAGUGAUAGGACAAGAGGAAAUGGCCUCAAGUUGCGCCAGGGAAGGUUCAGAUUGGAUAUGUGUACACAUACGCAGGCACGUCACAAGAAGAGCCAGAGGCCUCGAAUGAAUUGCAAAGAGAAAGUUUUAUUUUAGUUACUUCUCUACUGGGGGAUCUCCGAAGUUGCACCUAAGCUCCCAGGCAGAGGUGACACAAGCGGGGACACAGGCGCUGGUAAGUUCAGCCCUGCUGGAAGAUCACUGGGCCUGCUGAGCUCACCUGUAUCUCAAGGCUUCAGGCAGGCACAGCCUCCCAUUCUUUCUCAAAACAAAGCAAGAAUCUCAGACAUAGUGAUAAGGUGCCUAGAGUUUCUCACAGGCCUAUGUUAUCUAACACAGAGGUUCUACACAUCAAGCACAUAAGGUCAGUAAAACAAUUAGUGUGAUCUAUGUGUUUUUUCUACUGACAGGUGCAAGUCACUUGAGCAUAUUUACAUUUAACUAACCUCCUCGCCAAUCCUGCGCUACAUUCCCAUACAGGAUACUAGGAAAAAAUUCUUCAUGGAACGGGUUGUGAAGCAGUGGAACAGGCUGCCCGGGGAAGUGGUGGAGUCACCAUCCAUGGAGGUGUUUAAAAGGCAUUUAGACGAGGUUCUUAGGGACAUGGUUUAGUGUUAGAGCUAGGUUAUGGUUGGACUCGAUGAUCCUGAGGGUCUCUUCCAACCAAAAUGAUUCUAUGAUAGGAAAAGGGGUAAUGGCUUUAAACUGAAAGAGGGUAAAUUUAAAUUAGAUAUAAGGAAGAAAUUAUUCACCAUGAGGGUGGUGAGGCACUGGAACAGGCUGCCUGUAGAAGUUGUGGAUGCCCUGUCACUGGAAGUGUUCAAGGCCAGGUUGGAUAGGACUUUGAGCAACCUGAUCUAGUGGAAGGUGUCCCUGCCUGGAACUGGAAGAUCUUUAAGGUCCCUUUUUCUGCUAGAUCCCCAGUAGCAGAAAAAGCGUAAGGCUUUUCAUCCAUUUUGAGCUUUGUUUUCCUUAUGACAGGGUCAUAGACCAGGCCCAUUGCUGGAGAGUCAAUGGCUGAAGCUUUGUUUUGAGGGUUAAUAAAAUGGUUCAUACAUUCCAUCAACAUGGAGAGGGACAGAUAAUAGCCUUUCCCCGAAGUAUACUACCAUGUCUUACCCUGCAGCGCUCUUUCAAAGAUGGUGUCUUCCCUGAUGUUAUUCCAGCUGUGCGGAUACUGUAUUUUCUGCCAGCCCCACCUCCCACUUCCUCAAGAACUCCAGGGACGUCACCAGCUGUACAGUAAAGUUCAAGCUGGUGUUUUGUGGGAAGAUUCUGGCACUGGCAUUGCUGAAUAGUGUCAUGUAGAAACUGCCAUCCUUCUCCCCCCACCCCCCCUGAUGUCCUGAACUUGGAAGGCUUCUAUCCAGCUGCUAAAUUUCUGGGGCUAGCAACCCCACAUCAGCAGCAGCUGUUUCUUUCUGCCUUUCCCUUUUGCAGCAAUUGUCUUCUCAAUUUUGUAGAUUCUGUCCUCAUCGGGAUUCGCAGAUUCACUUUUGAAGUUCUUCAGGGUAAAAUGUCCCCUCAGUUGCUUCACGACCAUAGCCUAUUAAGUGGUACACAGGUCUCUGUCCCCUUCUCACAAUUUCAGCUGCUAUGAAAAUUCCAUCUGUGAAAGUCUGCUCAUAACUUUUCUCAAAUUUCUCUUUUGUUCUAGACACCCUGAUGUGGUCUCCCUUUUUGAGCAGAGGCGCGAGUUCUUUAAUUUUAAACACAGCCACGUAUAAGGUUUUCCAAACCCUUGCAGAGUUUAAAGGGUUCAUGUCCACAGUCCUGGCUCUGACAGUUCUGUGGAAGCUAUGGUUAUAGCUCUUUAUAGACUCCAACAACACACCAAUGUAGUGAAAAUUGUUGCAUGCUGUAAAAUAUCUCCACACCUUGGUUUUGAGCAUCCUGCUAAAACACUCUAUGACAGAGGCCUUUACUUCAUUAUUAGCAACAAAACAGUGAACAUAGCUUUAACAGCUUGUUUAAAGGCUGGUUUAAAAAUUCUUUUCCCUUUUAACAGAAGUGGCUGCGACGAUUAGAAACGACGCACACCAGGACACAGACAGAAAUUCACGCAGAGGCAGAGAUCUUGUUCAGGAAGGAGUGCAGAGCCUGGCCAAGCAGAGAGCUGACCUAGGCCUAGGCUACCUUCUUUAUUCACCAUUGACAAUUUAUAGGAUUUACAGGACUAAGAUGUUUACAAAAGGUGUUUUUCCACUAAUUGUUAUUAAAAACACACUAAACUCAUGUGAAGUUUGUCUCACUUGUUUUUCCACUUAUUCACAGACCAGGCCCAAGGACAUUCACACAUCCCAUGCACUUGGGGGCGGUUAUCGGGCCCAAGAUACCAUUCUCACAAGUCUGGGCUAUAACUUUUUACAGUUAUGAGAAACGUACUUCAAAGUAAUCUGUCCAAGGCCCUUUAUAUGUUAUUAUGUUAGUAUUAUGUCUUCAACCGUCCAAAUGGUCAUGUUAGUAUUGAUCUUCCUUUAUCAUCCAGAUGGCUGGAACCGCACAUCUUGCUUUCCCACAUUUUACUUUCCAACAAGUGGCAGCGUGGACAUGCGUACAUAGUUGUUUCUCUCAUAUUCUCACUCCUCUCUCUCACAGCUGCUGUGCAGCAUUUUUUUUACCCUUUCUUAAAUAUGUUAUCACAGAGGCGCUACCAAUGUCGCUGAUUGGCUCAGCUUUGGCCAGCGGCAGGUCCGUCUUGGAGCCGGCUGAAACUGGCUCUGUCUGCCUUCUCACAGAAGCCACCCCUGCAGCGCCCCCACCCCCUCACUACCAAAACCUUGCCACGUAAACCAAAUACAACAAGAUAUAAGGAGAGUGGAGGGGAAUAUGGAGUGGCAGGUGUGUCUUCCUCUGUAGGGCUGGAAGGGGGUCAGGGUCUGGUCUGGGGCCAAAAACAUCCCCAUCCCAGUUAUCGCAGAACCACAGAAUGUUAGGGAUUGGAAGGGACCUUGAAAGAUGAUCUAGUCCAAUCUCCCCGCCGGAGCAGGAACACCUAGAUGAGGUUACACAGGAAGGCGUCCAGGCGGGUUUUGAAUGUCUCCAGAGGAGACUCCACAACCUCCCUGGGCAGCCUGUUCCAGUGCUCUGUCACCCUCACUGUGAAGAAGUUUGUGGGAAACUGCAGCAGGUCUGUGGAAUCCUUGAUAGAAAAUAUGGCAGUAGAGAUCAGCCUUGAAGACAUUAAGAUUUACCCUUGAGAAGGAUGGGAGUAAAGGAGUAUCCAGAGGUAUGGAGUUGUACCCGUGAGAGAGGAGAGAUGUACCCGUGAGAGAGAAGGGGAUAGAAGAAUAACAUGGAUGAUAGCAAAAUUAACCAAUGAGAUGUUAGUGCUGUAACUUGUAACCAAUAGUGAAAAGACACAUGAACUGGUAGAAUUGUAUAAAAAUGCACUUGUAGCAAUAAAUGGCACCUAUUACCUGUCACUUUCAUCUUGAAAGAACUUGGUCCAUGUCGUUUGUCCGUCUCAACCGCGACAUCUGGUGACCCCGACGUGAUCCUGCCUGAAGAGGAUCUCGCAUGACAAGGUGACAGCGUGAAGCUGUGAACAGCCGAAGAAGAGCUGUGGAGACGGAGCCCGGUACAGCUGAUAAGAGCAGCCGAGGAGAGCUGCCGAAGAUCUGGAUCGUUGAAAAGACACCUCGCUAAGGAGGAGGUGAGCUACCGGGAACAUGGGGGGAAACUUAUCUAAAGAAGAGGGUACUAUAUUAUCCACAUGGAAGCUGCUUCUGAAGAAGCGGGGUGUUAGCCUUCCGGAACUGACUUUAAGAAAAAUGUUACUGUCGGGGAUUGGCUCAAGGAGCACAGACAUGAGUCCACCAAGCAACUGUACGAGCAGAGCCCAUUUUAGUUGACAUAAGUAGGCCUUAGUUAGCUUGUCUAUUAGGCCGUGGGAAAGGGGGGAACGGAAAAGUACUAACUAAGGCAGGGUCAGGAUAUUUUUGAAGAGAUAAGAGUCAGAAGAAUGUGGGAUGCGCAUAGCUAGCUAAACCCAAGUAGGUGGAGUAAGUAAAUGUGCUUAGCCUAUUAGAUAGAGACAAGUAUGCAUAAUUAUGGUAUUUGGUAUAAAUGCACGCUAUCUCGGGCAAUAAAGUUGAAGUAUGCUUUAUCACUCAUAUUGAGUCGGCUGCAUUUCUUCCUCCGUCUGCUCGGGUCUGGAACUCUGAUGGGACUUUUCUCUGCAAUUGGCGCCCGAACCGGGGAUCCGAAGCGGCGGAUAGAAGCAAAAGGCGCCGGGAGAGCAGCGACCGGCGGGCAAGAGCGACCGAACACUGUGCUGCGGUGUGUCGACUCCGAAGCCUGAACCGACUGAAGUUCGCCAGUGCUGGGCUACAGGAAACAAGGGCUGCAAGAGGUCUCUUAAUUUACCAAGAGGUACCGUACUAUAAUGAUGAAUAACGGGGAAAUAGAUUAAAAAUGAUGAAUAACGGAGAGAUAGAUAACAGAGAAACGGAUUAAAAGUGAUAGAUAAUAGAGAAACGGAUUAAAAGUGAUAGAUAACAGAGAAACGGGUUAAAAGUGAUAAAUAACAGAGAAACGGAUUAAAAGUGAUGAAUAACGGAGAAACGGGUUAAAAUGAUGAAUAACAGAGAAAUGGAUUUAGAAGUAGCCCUAGAUUUAUUACAAAGCUUUUUAGAAAAGCGAGGUGUUGAUCAUAGUUACGUUAAACAGCUAGCUGGUCUAGUAACAUUGGGAAAAACUAAAGGCUGUUUUCAGGAUCCUGAUUUAUUGUUUGAUGAAGGAGAGUGGAGGAAAUUGGGGGAUGUGUUGUGGGAUAUGGUCAUAGACGAGGAUAAAACAGCUAAGAAACUGAUGAAACCGUGGAGGGAAGUAAUUAAUAAUAUUAAGCGUCAUAAAAUGGAAAAGAAUUUAGCCGCGGUAGCUUCACAGAAACUCGGCAAAAUGGAGCCUUCCGCUCCGCCGAUGGAAACGGGCAUAUCUGCGUUAUCAGCGAAGAACCUUAAAAGACUAUUAACUUGGUGCAGAGGCAAUAGGUAUCCUGCUGACCUGUCAGGAGUUUUUCAAAUAGAGACUUGGAAAAAGAUGGGAACUGUGUUGUGGAAGGCAAUUAGUCACCGCGAAAGAUAUAUUCUCGGCCUUGUAACCAUCUGGAAACUGAUAAAUACUACAGUGAAGCAAUUAAAACCUGAAAAGACUGUUACGAGCAUUAGUGACUCAAAACUUGAACUUUGGGACAGUAUAGAGCAGAAAUUAUGGGAUAAAGUCAGCAAUGGACAUACAGAAGCUAAAUCAUUAGUAACUACAUGGAAGCUUGAACGGUCUGCUGCUGCCGGAAUUUUUGCAGCGUUGCAGCCUGAUAAGUAUCCUGAAAGUUGCGGUGAAGUUCACCCGGUUUGUGUCUGCGAUACCCUCCCUAUUCCAUCCCCUGCUGUGCUUUCAGCAUCCCCGAUGGUUCAGCAGUCUGGGGCAGGGGGAGGAACAAUGCCAAACGGUUAGCCUCCUGUACCAUCAUCUAACCCUGGUGAGAACAGCAAGUCCAGAGGAUUGGUGUCAGACAAGUUACUCAAAGAACCUGUGAAAGCUGAGAAUGCUAAAGUCGUAAACAAGUGUACUAUCAGUUCCUUUUACCAAUUUUACCAAUCUGCUUUUCCUGCAUUUUAACCCUCUAACUUCCACGAGAGAACAGAAGAAGUCACUGAAAAUAGAACUGGACAACAGAACUGUGUGACAGAUUAGAUCAGCUAAUAGCAAGUGAAUCUGACAGUCAGCAAUGUGGUCAUGAUAAUCGUGACGGGAAACGGGGUGCUUCUGGGGACUCGGGGUAUAAAACUUAGAAGUUAAGGAAGUACUGGUGUUGAAAUUGGCAGUAGAGAAUGCUAAUGUUUGCUAUCAACAUGUUAUUUGCGAGUUUUACAGUGCAUAUUAUGUGCUGCUGUUUAUUGCCUCUCUGAAAGUCAAGCAGCUUGUCAGGAAUGUGAGUUAAUUGUUUCACUGGUUGUUGUUAGAAUUGUUUCUUUGUGGUAUAAGUGCACCGUAAAACUUUCUCUCCACUUUUCCCACUCACGCUGCAAGCAGCCCUGUGCUUUUCCGUGGGGUCAGAAAUUACUGUUUUCAGUCGUGUUCAUAAAAAAUCGGUAUUGGGAGGUGUUUCAAAACAUAGGGAAGCACUUGGAAAUAUGAGGAAAGAAGAUCUUGUAAAAUAUUGUAAUUAAUGGUGGCUGCUGUAUAAGUUAAAUGAUUGGGAAAAGUGUCCGGGGAAUAGAAUCUUGAAGUAUAACACCUUGUUGCAAUUAAUGUUGUUUUUAGGGCGAGAAGAGUAAGACAAAAUAAAUCCCUACAAGAGAUCAUUAAAUCAUUUCAGACAGCUGAGAGAGAGUUAACUGAUAACACACAGGUCACAGUAAACUUGCCGAAGUCUGCACAAUGUUUUCCUUAUUAGCCUGUUUUCUUUGUGGGUAUCUGUUUAAGCACGUUGCAAUUUUGGUAGGUCUUUGUUAUAUGGUACAGUAGGUUCACAGAGAUUCAUGAAAAUCGGUUGACUCAAAAGGUGCGUUUUGUGAUAGUACAAAAGAUCAUGAGUAAUUUAGUUCCUUACUGCGUGAACGUGAUGUUAAAAUUUUAUGUGUAGUAGCUGUUAUAUUUUUUUUUCUAGCGUACUAGCUUUAUUCCAAUAUCCAGACUUGCGCAACUCUGUGACAGGCUGUCUCUCAUCUCGGUGCACUAAAUUUGGCCUUUUUGUAUGCACAUCAAGUGAAGAAUCAUGGUUUUAGAAUAACAGUUGUAGCGCACCAGAUGAGACACUAUAAAAAAAAAAAAAAAAAAAAAAAAGGCCUUGCCCAGUCCAGCUUGCUGCGGGGGGGGGCGGAUGCCAAAUGGGCCUCCAGCGCGCACUGACCCAUUUUGUCAGGGAGACCCAGAGGUAUCUCCACCUGGCUGAGCAGUAAGCGGUUCAAGGUGCAAUGCAAAAAAUUGAGAUAUUGUCUUAAAUUGGUGUAAGUGUGAUCCAUCUGCUUAUUUGAACUUGGUAUAUGGUUUUCAUAUCUGAGCUCAGUAUUUUAGUUUGUAUAUUCAUAUUCGGUACCAAAAGAAUCUUGUUUGGGGAGAUAAUUACAAAAUGGGAACCAGUUCCACUGCUAAAAUUCCACCUUGCUCCCCCUUAGGAUGCAUCCUUACACAUUAAAGUAAUCGCUUAUAUUGUUAGAAAAGCAUUUAAAUUGUUAAAAUACUAUGAUAGAUGUGAACUUGGGGUAUUGUAUGAAGUUAUGAAGUUGUAUUUAAAGGUUGCUGGAAUGUGAACUGAUUUGGAUCUAGGAAAAUAGAAUAAUGGAUUUAUGUUUAUUAUACUGGUUUAUACUCUAAAUUGUAAAAGGUAAAUGAAGCUAAGGAAUGUGACUAUUGCUGAGCUACUUGAAAUUGCAUAUAAAGUGUAUUAUGGCUGGAAUGAAAUGGGAAAACAAAAGAGCAAAAUAUCCCAGGCCUGUGUGCAGCUCAUUGUAACUGAGAAGUUUCCCAGAGCCUCCUACUUCGUACCAGCCAGUAUGCCAGCUGCGUGACCCUGGUUAUAUCUACACUGCACAGAAAGAAAAAACAACUGGAAAAACCUGGCUGCCCGCUUUUAAAGCAGUGAAAGGGGGGGUUCUCUCUCCCCCCACUGCAGCGAUGUAAUAGAAUGGAGCCGUCCGAGGGUGAAGUUUAAAGGCAUCCUGAGCAGACCCGUAGUUCUAAUGAAACUGGACAAUUAAACCAAAAAUUUGUUGGUAGACUUAUCCUAUGGUAAUUAAUUGUACGAGACUUCUUAGUAAAUUCACCAUGCUAGUUUUUGAGGGCAUGGGAGACAACGAAAGAAAGGCCAUUUUUUGAGACAAAUGGAAUGCCAGAUUUGGAACAAAGUUUUAAUACAUGAAUUCUUGUAUUUGCCCAAAAGUCCUAUACCUCUCUUGGGUCAGGAUUUGUUAAGUAAAUUGUAAGCUCAAAUAACGUUUUCUGAGAAUUCUGUUUAGUUGCAUAUCCUACAAGAAGGUGCUUGGAUGGUGCAGAUCUGCUUGUGCAAGUGAGAAAUCUUCAAGGAACUUAGCAGCCAAUGUUUUUGAUAAAGCAAAUACUACACUGAGAAAUCUGAAACAGGACUUCAAUCCGGUAAGGGAAAACAAUAUCCAAUAAAUAUGACAGCCGAAAUGGAGUUAGAAACUUUGAGGGAUGAAUUUAUGACAACUUUACAGGAUGACUGCAUUUGAUUGGACUUACAGAUUUGUCUAUGAAACAACCUGUGGCUAUUGUGGGACAGUAUGAUGAGAAUGCUAACAGACUAAUAUACCAAUUGUCACUCUGAUCAAGAAAAUGCAGGGAAUGAAUUUAAGGCCAUGAUCCUUUUGUCAUAUAUGUACUAUUUGCGAAAUUUAAGGAGCCUCUGAAUUUGAUUUGCGAUUUUGAGUACGUAGUCAAGAUCCAACGCACGUAUCUGAUUCUGAACUGUGUUUUUGUUUUGUUUUGUUUGUUUUGUUUUGUUUUGUUUUUUAAACAAAAAGGGGAAUUGUCAAAAGGAUUGUAUGUGAUGAAUCACUUGUAUCUAAGUGGUACAGCCUAAAUUUGCCCUGUGAUGAAACACUUUGUAACUAUGACCCAAAACCAUGCUAAAUCAGAAAGAACCUGCAUUAGUUAUGGUCAAAUCACUAGUUAACGUUCAAUGGAAAAGGCCACACCAAUUGAUAACCUGGGGGAGAGGUUAUGCUUAUGUUUUUACAGAUCAAGAGCUGCAAUGGUUGCCAGCACGAAACGUGAAACCUGUGUUAUCUUCCUGACAAUGAUUGUUGCAGCUGCUGUGUUUUGGAUGCCUGCACAGACAAAGACUAACAUGUGGAUUACUUUAGCCAACAUGACUGACCAUCUAUAUGCCUAACUACGAUGUCUCUGGAAAAAACGUUCCACACAUGCUUGGUUGGUGUCUUCCUUGAUGACUACAGCAGCAUCACACGACUGUUUCAAAUAGUGGUUGAUGCAGAGGCAUUGCAACGAACUGUAAUAAUACUAACACGGCACUUUGGAUUAAUUGCCACCUGGAAGCAGACAUCGAACCACAGGAACUGGAAUUGAUGGCAUCUAUGCCCAUGGAUGCUUGUAUUCAGCCGGUUUGUGAAAAGUGUCAGAACAGUAUACAAGAACAUGAAUGGACAAAACUACAAAAUGUUAAUGCUACUCUUGGUGACUACAGAAAUGAAACUCGACGGUGUAAUGCUUCACAGAAGAAUGCAAGGGAUGUCAUUGACAGCAACCCUAAAACCUCCUGUAUGGUGUAUUCUUGAUCUGUGAAGAUAGAGCCUGACCAGGAAUUCCUUCUAACGCUGUUGGAGGACUGUGUAUUUUGGGACUACUAACUCUCUUAACGUCCAAUGUAUCUAUGAUAAUAGAUCACAAAAGAGCAAGACGAGAAAAACACUUUUAUGGAUUUACAGAAUAAGUCGAGAUCCAUCCACGAGGAGAUUAAACAACUUACGGACCAUUCACAGAAGAUCAGAGAGGAUGUGGGCCUCUUUGGCUUAGACGGCCUCAUGAACUGGUUUGGACUAGGAGGAUGGGUAAAAGGGCUUUUGCAGAGUGCUCUGGCUCUCUUAAUCAUAGUAGUAGUUGCAUUAAUAUGCUUGAGUUGUGCUAUAUCAUGUAUUAAGAAGAUUUUAGAGCAGACACUUGGGCAGCCUCUGCUCAUUAAAAAAAAGAAAAAGGGGGAGAUGUCGGGGAUUGGCUCAAGGAGCACAGACAUGAGUCCACCGAGCAACUGUACGAGCAGAGCCCAUUUUAGUUGACAUAAGUAGGCCUUAGUUAGCUUGUCUAUUAGGCCGUGGGAAAGGGGGGAACGGAAAAGUACUAACUAAGGCAGGGUCAGGAUAUUUUUGAAGAGAUAAGAGUCAGAAGAAUGUGGGAUGCGCAUAGCUAGCUAAACCCAAGUAGGUGGAGUAAGUAAAUGUGCUUAGCCUAUUAAAUAGAGACAAGUAUGCAUAAUUAUGGUAUUUGGUAUAAAUGCACGCUAUCUCGGGCAAUAAAGUUGAAGUAUGCUUUAUCACUCA